UCACAUAUUUCAGGCUUUUUUUGAAGCCUUUAGACAGGCUCAUUUCUGACUUCACUAGACUAUUAUUGCAUUUGUUUAUGUUGUAAGACGUGAA